GCAAGUCGAACGGGCUCUUCGGAGCAAGUGGCGGACGGGUGAGUAACGCGUGAGAAUCUGCCCUAAGGUGGGGGACAACAAUUGGAAACGAUUGCUAAUACCCCAUAUGCCGAGAGGUGAAAGGUUAAUUGCCUUAGGAUGAGCUCGCGUCUGAUUAGCUAGAUGGUGGGGUAACGGCUUACCAUGGCGACGAUCAGUAGCUGGUCUGAGAGGAUGAUC
rnacentral:rRNA from 1 species